UCCAGACUUUUCAGGUUGCAUUCGCUCUGCGCCUCGGGUCAAGUUACUGGGGAGAAGUGGUGGCUCCCCCAGCCAAUGCGAGGGCUGCAAAGCGCUUUCAAAAAGCAGGUACAAAGGGAAAGAGUGGCUCUGAUGGAUGUUAUGAGGCGUGUCUGGAACCUCUGUCAGAUUUUGGAGGGAAGUGACUACAUCAAUGCAAGAUAAUAUUAUCAACAAUACAUAUUAAGAAUUUACAAGACAUCAGCAAAAAAGAGGAAUAUAGAAGUAGCCAGACUGGAUCAGACCCUCCUGUAUCUGACAGUGGCCUGUACCAGAUUCUUGUAAAGACUGUGCAAGAAACCUGCCCAAAGGGUGAGUUUCUUCUUAACCACCAUCUGUUACUGGUUGGCUUAUGCCCAGAAACAUGAAGGUUUACAUCUCUUCUGCAGAUAUUUGUAAUCCUAUCUAACCUAACAGGGGACUAAAGGGACAUUGUUAAUAUCACUUUAUUUUUUAAAUGUUCUC